UCGGCGCCCAGGCGGCGUGACCUUCCCGGGCGUCCAGGGAAGCGGCGAGAGCUGCCACGCACGUGCCGCGGGACCCGCGCGCCGCCCAGGGAUGGCCCGCCGGGGUCGCUGGAGAAUCUCAGGGUCAUCGGCCUCCUUCCCCCAGUGCCUACCUGGAUAUGUGGUGCCUGUCAUAAGGUCCAGCGAGCUGCCUUCCACGAGACCAGCAGAAGAGUGGGCAAACGUGAAGUCCAGUCCUGCUGCCCAGGCUGCCAUUGACCUCACGGCGGGGGCUGCAGGGUAGUUAGAAACCACGCAAGAGAUCGCGGAGCCAAGGAGGCCGAAUAGGAACAGCUCCGGUCUACAGCUCCCAGUGUGAGCG
rnacentral:lncRNA from 1 species